rnacentral:snoRNA from 1 species
AAGACUAUACUUUCAGGGAUCAUUUCUAUAGUAUGAGACUAGAGAAUUGUGGCUGAAAGUGUAGCACGGAGGUAACCACGAGGAGGAGCUGGAGCGUUCUCUUCAGGCGUGAAGCAAACGUGGUUAACUGCUUCUCAGCAGCUGUCACUUGCCAUUGAUGAUCGUUCUUCCCUUCCUUCGGGUUGGGUGAGAGGAAGGGAACGCAGGCUGAGUGGC